rnacentral:rRNA from 1 species
GAGUUUGAUCGUGGCUCAGAUUGAACGCUGGCGGCAUGCCUUACACAUGCAAGUCGAACGGCAGCAUGAUCUAGCUUGCUAGAUUGAUGGCGAGUGGCGAACGGGUGAGUAAUACAUCGGAACGUGCCCUGUAGUGGGGAGUAACUAGUCGAAGAUUAGCUAAUACCGCAUACGACCUGAGGGUGAAAGUGGGGACCGGCAAGGCCUCAUGCUAUAGGAGCGGCCGAUGUCUGAUUAGCUAGUUGGUGGGGUAAAGGCCCACCAAGGCGACGAUCAGUAGCUGGUCUGAGAGGACGAUCAGCCACACUGGGACUGAGACACGGCCCAGACUUCCUACGGGAGGCAGCAGUUGGGGAAUUUUGGACAAUGGGCGAAAGCCUGAUCCAGCAAUGCCGCGUGUGUG